UCUUCCCCCCGCCCCCCACCUCAGUCUGCGUGCCGAUGUCGACAAAAGAAUCCCUCCCAACCUCGAACCCGUCACCCUCCCUCUUCCCCAUUCCCCUCUGCGGGUCGUCUCGUUAGAUCAGAUCGGACGGCGAGAGCGGGGUCUUCUUCUUCCUCUCUCCCUCCCGGUCCCGAGCUUUCCCUCUCUCUCUCUCUCUCUCNNNN
rnacentral:lncRNA from 1 species